UAAUUUCAAAUUUCAGUGGAAUCCUACAAAGAUGCAUGCAUGCUUUCAAUCUAGCUUUGUUCACAUAAUCAAUCUUUUUCCAAUAGAUGUUUCAUUCAUGAAUGGUUAAUCAACUAAACACAGAUGUAAACAUGGAUUUAACAAUUCUCACCAAGCAAGUGUUUCACUCAAUCACUCAAGUGUUUAGGAAGUCACUCUACUCUCUACUGUUCACAUGUCACAUCAAACGAUAUUGUCAUUCAUCUCAAACAAUCAAAAUCUUCACAUGCAUAUGUCAUCACAAGGACUUUUNCCANGGCUUGUAUUGUGGNUGGGCUAUCAAGAAAAUUGGUUUUUAUGGAAUACAAAAUCCUUGAGUUAAGAGAGUUUAAAUCAUUAUUCAAAGUUCAAGCACACUCUCUUUUUAACCAAUCUCACUCAUUCCCAACUUUUUCCCUUUUUCCUUUUACAUUUUUCAUUGAGUUCACUUUACAUGCUUUUCUCUUUUCUUCUUUUCUUUUCCUUUCACAUGCAUUUUUCUUAUAUUUUGAACUCAAUGCUUUCCUUUUUCUUUUGCCUUUCACUUUCCCCAUUUAACCUCAAACUUGAACAUUUCCAACACAUAUAAUUAUUCUCAACCCUAACUCAAGGUAAAUCAAUUCAAACAAGGGUUUUCAUACUGUUUAAGGUCAAGGUUCAAAAAGGGUAUACCAUUUAAAAUUCUUUGUGUGAAAAUUUGGCUAAGUAAGGGUUUUCCAAACAUGGCCU
rnacentral:lncRNA from 1 species